rnacentral:lncRNA from 1 species
GUCGAGGCCUUUUGCCUUCAGAGGCGGGGGCCGUCGCAGGUAUUCCUCCCCCUCGAUCUCCAUCAGGAUCUGCGCACGGGGAGCGGAGAGAGGAGUGUAGGAGUCGUACUUGGGGCGUGCCGGCCUCGGAGUCUGCUGCCGGGGUGGCUUUUGGAUUCGUCGGGGCGGUGAGACCCGACUGUCGGUCGGGGGCCUGCUGGGUUCGGCGGGCUCCCGACCUUUCCUCCGCUUCUCUUUCGGGCCUCUGGGCUCGGCCAAGCGUCGGUCGGACGCUCCUUCGUCCGCGCGCAUAUACUUGUAUGCACGCUCCAGUAGC